rnacentral:rRNA from 1 species
AGUGAACGCUGGCGGCGUGCCUAAUACAUGCAAGUCGAACGAUGAAGUCCUAGCUUGCUAGGAUGGAUUAGUGGCGCACGGGUGAGUAAUAUAUAGUUAAUCUGCCCUACACAGAGGAACAACAGUUGGAAACGGCUGCUAAUACCUCAUACUCCUAUUUGACAUAAGUUAAAUAGGGAAAGUCUUUUCGGUGUAGGAUGAGACUAUAUCGUAUCAGCUAGUUGGUAAGGUAAUGGCUUACCAAGGCUAUGACGCGUAACUGGUCUGAGAGGAUGAUCAGUCACAUUGGAACUGAGACACGGUCCAAACUCCUACGGGAGGCAGCAGUAAGGAAUAUUGCGCAAUGGGGGAAACCCUGACGCAGCAACGCCGCGUGGAGGAUGACACUUUUCGGAGCGUAAACUCCUCUUAUCAGGAAAGAAUAAUGACGGUACCUGAUGAAUAAGCACCGGCUAACUCCGU